rnacentral:rRNA from 1 species
CAGCAGCCACGGUAAUACGUAGGUGGCAAGCGUUAUCCGGAAUUAUUGGGCGUAAAGCGCGCGUAGGCGGUUUUUUAAGUCUGAUGUGAAAGCCCACGGCUCAACCGUGGAGGGUCAUUGGAAACUGGAAAACUUGAGUGCAGAAGAGGAAAGUGGAAUUCCAUGUGUAGCGGUGAAAUGCGCAGAGAUAUGGAGGAACACCAGUGGCGAAGGCGACUUUCUGGUCUGUAACUGACGCUGAUGUGCGAAAGUGUGGGGAUCAAACAGGAUUAGAGACCCCCGUAGUCCCUGUCUCUUAUAC